GAUGUAGAACGCAGCGAAAUGCGAUACGUAAUGUGAAUUGCAAAUUCAGUGAAUCAUCGAGUCUUUGAACGCACAUUGCGCCCCCUGGUAUUCCGGGGGGCAUGCCUGUCCGAGCGUCAUUGCUGCCCUCAAGCACGGCUUGUGUGUUGGGCCCCGUCCUCCGAUCCCGGGGGACGGGCCCGAAAGGCAGCGGCGGCACCGCGUCCGGUCCUCGAGCGUAUGGGGCUUUGUCACCCGCUCUGUAGGCCCGGCCGGCGCUUGCCGAUCAACCCAAAUUUUUAUCCAGGUUGACCUCGGAUCAGGUAGGGAUACCCGCUGAACUUAAGCAUAUCAAUAAGCGGAGGA
rnacentral:misc_RNA from 1 species